GACAGAGGGGGCAAGCGUUGCUCGGAAUUACUGGGCGUAAAGGGCGCGUAGGCGGGAUGCAAGUCGGUCGUGAAAUCCUUCGGCUCAACCGAAGAACGUCGAUCGAUACUGCUGUUCUUGAGGGUUGCAGAGGAGACUGGAAUUCCCGGUGUAGCGGUGAAAUGUGUAGAGAUCGGGAGGAACACCGGUGGCGAAGGCGGGUCUCUGGGCAAUUCCUGACGCUGAGGCGCGAA
rnacentral:rRNA from 1 species